AAUAGCACCAUCCCUACAAUAGCCAGCGACCAUAUUAUCACCGUUUGUCCUAUUGGUCCUAUUUGAAGUGCGAGUCUCAUGAGAAGCAUCAAGUCAUCGGGAACGUCGUCUAUUACCUGCAAAUAAAUUGAUCAAAACCUUAGCCGAUGAUGUUACGCUCACAGGUGGAAACUUUGCCAUACUGAUAUUUAGUCGACGAGCUCGAAUCGUGGAAGAACAUACAUCAUCGAACAAGUCAACGUAUGUUUAUGAAUCAGUUUUCCACGGUAUUUGUGAAAUGUGUUUUGAUCGUAUCAGAAGAAGAAAAGAGAGAAAAAUACACGAGAUGAAUUAAAUCUACAAUCUAAAACGACAUAGAAUUUGUACGUUCUAUGAAAUUAAAUAUUUUUAGUAGUUAGCAAAAUAAUUCUUCUUUAUAGCAAAUGAGAAUACAAUUUCCCUAUGUGGAUUAUCGUUGUCUAUAAAAAGGUUCAAAGUAUAAAAGUGAAAUAGUUGAGCAAACUCACUGAUUGCUUUUUGUGCAGUUAGGAGUUGUUGACAUUAGCCUCGUAAACUCUGAAAUGUGGGCAUGUCUGCAUAAACAGUGAAAGGAUCAACGACUGAAAUAAUUGCGAAAACCAUUGGCAAUUUGGUACAUAUAGCUGCUGCCAAGAUGCUAAUGUCUAUAUGUACCUGAUAUUGCACUUGACUGGCACGCUCAUGCAUAUAUAAUAUGACAUAUUUCAAGUAAAUUAACUGAUAAUAUAAAACUGUCUAGAGUGCGUGCAUGCUAUAACUGUACUCGGUGUAGUCGUGCCUGUAAAAGUUUAGCAACAGAAAGUUUCAAACGAUUCGAUCGAUUCAUAUGCAGUAAGGUAAGCCGAUUGUGUCAACAACCGGUAUAUUUUUCAUUUA